GGGAACUGUAGAGGACGGUGGGGCAGUAGAGACAACAGGCACAGAGAUCCUGAGAGUGACACACAGGGAACUGUAGAGGACGGUGGGGCAGUAGAGACAACAGGCACAGAGAGAUCCUGAGAGUCACACACAGGGAACUGUAGAGGAUGGAGGGGCAGUAGAGAGAACAGGCACAGAGAUCCUGAGAGUCACACACAGGGAACUGUAGAGGACGGUGGGGCAGUAGAGAGAACAGGCACAGAGAUCCUGAGAGUCACACACAGGGAACUGUAGAGGAUGGAGGGGCAGUAGAGAGAACAGGCACAGAGAUCCUGAGAGUCACACACAGGGAACUGUAGAGGACGGUGGGGCAGUAGAGAGAACAGGCACAGAGAUCCUGAGAGUGACACACAGGGAACUGUAGAGGAUGGAGGGGCAGUAGAGACAACAGGCACAGAGAUCCUGAGAGUCACACACAGGGAACUGUAGAGGACGGUGGGGCAGUAGAGAGAACAGGCACAGAGAUCCUGAGAGUGACACACAGGGAACUGUAGAGGAUGGAGGGGCAGUAGAGAGAACAGGCACAGAGAUCCUGAGAGUGACACACAGGGAACUGUAGAGGACGGUGGGGCAGUAGAGACAACAGGCACAGAGAGAUCCUGAGAGUGACACACAGGGAACUGUAGAGGACGGUGGGGCAGUAGAGACAACAGGCACAGAGAUCCUGAGAGUGACACACAGGGAACUGUAGAGGACGGUGGGGCAGUGGAGAGAACAGGCACAGAGAGAUCCUGAGAGUGACACACAGGGAACUGUAGAGGACGGUGGGGCAGUAGAGAGAACAGGCACAGAGAUCCUGAGAGUGACACACAGGGAACUGUAGAGGACGGUGGGGCAGUAGAGAGAACAGGCACAGAGAGAUCCUGAGAGUGACACACAGGGAACUGUAGAGGACGGUGGGGCAGUAGAGACAACAGGCACAGAGAGAUCCUGAGAGUGACACACAGGGAACUGUAGAGGACGGUGGGGCAGUAGAGAGAACAGGCACAGAGAGAUCCUGAGAGUGACACACAGGGAACUGUAGAGGACGGUGGGGCAGUAGAGAGAACAGGCACAGAGAGAUCCUGAGAGUGACACACAGGGAACUGUAGAGGACGGUGGGGCAGUAAAGAGAACAGGCACAGAGAGAUCCUGAGAGUGACACACAGGGAACUGUAGAGGACGGUGGGGCAGUAGAGACAACAGGCACAGAGAGAUCCUGAGAGUGACACACAGGGAACUGUAGAGGACGGUGGGGCAGUAGAGAGAACAGGCACAGAGAGAUCCUGAGAGUGACACACAGGGAACUGUAGAGGACGGUGGGGCAGUAAAGAGAACAGGCACAGAGAGAUCCUGAGAGUCACACACAGGGAACUGUAGAGGACGGUGGGGCAGUAAAGAGAACAGGCACAGAGAGAUCCUGAGAGUCAC
ensembl:lncRNA